rnacentral:rRNA from 1 species
AUUGAACGUUGGCGGCAGGCCUAACACAUGCAAGUCGAGCGGAUGAAGGGAGCUUGCUCCUGGAUUCAGCGGCGGACGGGUGAGUAAUGCCUAGGAAUCUGCCUGGUAGUGGGGGAUAACGUCCGGAAACGGGCGCUAAUACCGCAUACGUCCUGAGGGAGAAAGUGGGGGAUCUUCGGACCUCACGCUAUCAGAUGAGCCUAGGUCGGAUUAGCUAGUUGGUGGGGUAAAGGCCUACCAAGGCGACGAUCCGUAACUGGUCUGAGAGGAUGAUCAGUCACACUGGAACUGAGACACGGUCCAGACUCCUACGGGAGGCAGCAGUGGGGAAUAUUGGACAAUGGGCGAAAGCCUGAUCCAGCCAUGCCGCGUGUGUGAAGAAGGUCUUCGGAUUGUAAAGCACUUUAAGUUGGGAGGAAGGGCAGUAAGUUAAUACCUUGCUGUUUUGACGUUACCAACAGGAUAAGCACCGGCUAACUUCGUG